rfam:Loxodonta africana unplaced genomic scaffold scaffold_1, whole genome shotgun sequence.
GGUGGCACAGUGGUUAAAGCGCUCAACUGCUAAUUGAAAGGUUGGUGGUUCAAACCCACCAGCCA